UGUGAACGCUGGCGGCGUGCUUAAGACAUGCAAGUCGAACGGCAGUCUUCGGACUGUAGUGGCGCACGGGUGAGUAACGCGUAACUGACCUACCCCAAAGCCGCGGAUAACGAUUCGAAAGAAUCGCUAAUACGUGAUGUGCUGUCAGAUUGUGUUCUGCCAGUAAAGAUUGAUUGCUUUGGGAUGGGGUUGCGUUCCAUCAGCUAGUUGGUGGGGUAAAGGCCCACCAAGGCGACGACGGAUAGCCGGCCUGAGAGGGUGGCCGGCCACAGGGGCACUGAGACACGGGUCCCACUCCUACGGGAGGCAGCAGUUAGGAAUCUUCCACAAUGGGCGAAAGCCUGAUGGAGCGACGCCGCGUGAGGGAUGAAGGUCUUCGGAUCGUAAACCUCUGAAUCAGGGACGAAAGACACUUCGGUGGGAUGACGGUACCUGAGUAAUAACACCGGCUAACUCCGUGCCAGCAGCCGCAGUAACAC
rnacentral:rRNA from 1 species